rnacentral:rRNA from 1 species
ACGAACGCUGGCGGCUGCUUAACACAUGCAAGUCGAACGGAGUGGCGAACGGGUGAGUAACGCGUGAGCAACCUGCCUAUGACAGUGGGAUAGCCUCGGGAAACCGGGAUUAAUUCCGCAUAGUCAUAGGUGGGCUCGCGUGGGAUUAGCUAGUUGGUGAGAUAACAGCCCACCCAGGCGACGAUCAGUAGCCGGUCUGAGAGGAUGAACGGCCACAUUGGAACUGAGCCACGGUCCAAACUCUUGCGGGAGGCAGCAGUGGGGAAUAUUGCACUAUGGCGGAAAUCAUGAUGGCGCGACGCCGGGUGAACGAAGAAGGUAUUCGUAUCGUAAAGUUCUGUCCUAUGGGAAGCGGUACCAUAGAAGAAAGCUCCGGCUAAAUACGUGCCAGCAGCCGCGGUAAUUC